ensembl:lncRNA
CCAUCAUGUGCCAACUGAACCAGUACUGGAGCUGUUGCACCUUCUUUGCACCAAGAACUCAUGGAGAAAACUCCCUCCACAAACCGCUGUCCUUCUGAGUGAGAACCAUCGGGACUAGUCUUCAUGUUGUGCCGAAUGUACCUUGUUCUUAAGAGCAGGAUAUCCAGCAAGUUACUCUAAGAAAGCAACACAACACUGAAAGGGAAAAUUCCAUUGUGCUAGAAGAAUCCAAAUGUUAUUUCAGAGCUUUACGCAGUCUCCCAGAUACCUGGGAACCCAACUGUGAAGAUAUUAUUGGUUUUGACCAUCUCAUUUCUCCUGUCUGAGAGGAAGCUGAAGGCCAGGAUUCACUUUCAGUCUGAAACAGUUCAUUUUCAAAAUAGAUUGCAGGCAUAAUGAAAUGGGAAAGAAUUUAGAAAGUGAAUUCAAACAGAAGAAUCUAUGGGAGAAGUUCAGAUUUGUGAGUCUCUCGGUAAUUCCAUUCCAUUCAACAAUUUCAAGUCAUAAAAUGCAAAAUUAGAAACUCUGUCUCAUGACUUACAUACAGUUAGGAAUGUCUGGCACUGAAAUUAUAUCUGCUGGAGACAGAUGAGACCAGGAAAACUCUGGCCAAUCUUACUCUGAUCACAACUAAGAAACUAGUAGUGGCUACAGGAUAGAUCUGGCUUCCUUUCAUGCCAACGGAAAUCAGUCACUGAUAUUGAAGGGAAUGGACUGGGGUCAAUGGACGCUGUUUUGACUAUUUUGCAUUCAGUAAUUUUUAGGGAAGAAGUAAUUUUUAGGCAUAGCCUGCUACAGCUCUAAUGAAUAUAUUGCAAAUGGUUAAAAUGAUAAAACUAUACGGCCAUAAAUAUUGCCUUAGAGGUGAUUCCAAAGAGCCUUGGGAAAGGUGCUAAUGCAAGUCAAUGUUCUGAAAGGCAAUCUUUUAGUAGUUUCCAGUGGAAGUAUGACAGCAAUUACAUGUUUUUCUACAAAGUAAUUGUUAACAUUUUGAAUAAAACAGCUUAUUUAUUAUAUUUUAACUCUUUAG